rnacentral:lncRNA from 1 species
GCGGGUGUGAUCUGGAGGGGACACGGGGCCCGGCUGUGUUUCUGGGGCAUAAGUGAGACUUCCUUUUGUUGUAGUCACUGCCCCGUUGAUCCACACACGUCACGAAUCAGUGACAGAGACUCGCUGUGGAAACCGGAGUGCGCUGGCCUGCCUGCUACCCUCCGGUGUUUGUGACUUUUUACCAGCUGUCCUGACGAAGCACAGGGUGGAGCGAGCGCUGGUGUGCUGGGUGGAUUCUCAUCCCCCGAUAGCUGGAAAGUUGCCCCUCAUGACACUGGCCACUGCAUCGACAGCCUCUGUUGCUGGGUGUUUCUUCUAAGCAAUUAAGUAGGAGAUGAUGAAACCUCUCUUCCGUGGGGGGAGGCAGGACCAGCGCCCCGUCUUUAUCAGCCAGUGGCCAUAAAUGUGGACCAUGAACUUUCCCACUUGCUGUCAGCCCGGGCAUCGCAGGUGCGGUCACCCCUGGUUCGUCUCUCCUGCAAGGUGGGGAAAGGAAAGUUAACCUGCCAGUGGGUUAAGCCCUUCCUGACUUUCAUACGGGAGCCGGGCAUUUUGUCCUGGUGACCCAGAGUUGUGGUGUGUGGGCUGGUGCCUCAACAACCCUCCAGUGCACCUGCGCCCCUCUUCAGUGAGUCCCUUUAUCCACUUGGGAUUUGCUCUCCUUUCCGUGAAGGUGCCCCACAAGCAUGUCCACCUGGGUGGUAACCCUUGCUGAGUUUUAAAAGUGUAUCUGUUCAGUCUGUUGAUCCAACAUCAGAUCAGCCUUGUCAGUUUCCUAAAGUUGAACGAACCACGGUUUUGUCUGCACGCUUUAGUUUUAUCACAACAGAACUGAGUGUGUCACCUGCAUCUCACGUGAAAAUCACAAAAUGCCCUCAUCCAUGACCAUUAAAGAUAGGUCACAUUUUUGCAAUGCCAGCAAUUUUGCAUAAACAGACUCUGUUUUCAGGUUUGCUGAGGUGCUGGAUAUUUGGAGGUGAGAGAUUUGAGGCACUCGAUUUUCUGGCAGGAACCAGCACAGGCCACGAGUCUCGGACUUCGUGCGGAGGUCUGCUGGUGUCUUCUGAGUGGGUGGAGCCAGGCGUGCCCACCAGAUGCGGGUAGCGUGUGCUAGGCCAGGACGGCUCCCCAGGCUCAAGUCGGCCUCCUCCUGGGCCGAGGAUCCCCCGAGAGGGAGGCAACGUGUCAGGACGGUGUAUGUGGAGAGAGGCUUGAGGCUCGGUGCCCGAGCACGGGCAGGAGGACAGUGGCCUCGAUGCCAGAGACCGGAGGGAGGGACGCGACGAUGAGGCUGCAUAAGAAGAGAGCUGACUGUAGCUGAGUGUGUCAGCCACUCACCACCGAGUCCAGUUUCCGCACAGCACGAUCAUCGUGCCCUUGCUCACACACGUGUUAGAUGAGCUUGUGUGAGCUUUAUGGGCUGUAAUUUGUGAGUCUGUUCUGGGUGUGUGAUCCUGGCAGCCGGCUCGGCCUGGCCGCUCGUGACCUGGGGCCUUGUGGGGGUGGGGAGAGGGUGAGGAGGGGUGCACCCUCGACACCACCCUCUGAUGUGGCCUGCAGCCUAUGAAGAGUGAGGUUUGGGGGCCCAGAGUGUGAGUCACCAGCGGUAAAUGCAAACCAUAUGUGAUGCAUUUUCUCUGCUGCAGAAAGGGUUUCUGGUGACUGGCUCAGGCCAGGGCUCUGGAAACAGCAUUGCUUAUUUCACAUAAAAAUCCUAAGAAUGUGGGUGAACCUGUCUGAGAUCUGCGUAAUAAAACACUUAGUUGAAGUCACCGGGUUAGUUCCAGGCCCACUUGCUUAUGACGUGGCUGUUAGCCACGAGCUGGCAUUUACGUUAAAGUGUUGAGAAGAAGCGUGAGGGUUUUGAUGUUUCAGUUUCUUGAAAAUAUAACUGUUUCUACUCAGGACCUGCCUCUCCAAGAGUGUAGCACACUUCAUUUUUUUCUGUUUAGCAUGUAUGAGGGUGAACUUAGCUUGCUACUCACACACUACUCACUCUGUGGAGGAAGUUUGCCUCGCUUUUGUGGUGAGUCUUGCUGUAAUGAUAGCUUAUAUUUACAAAUACCGUCAGCAGUGCAGGGUCUUCAGGCUUGCAGAAAACGGUCAAGUCAUUACUUUGAGAAAUGUACAAACAUCUAUGCUUAAUGAGGUGCUAAAAGACAAAACUCAUCUACAAUCUCCUUCCCCCCAAACUGCCAACACUUCUGAUUAAUUUAAAAUCUGCUCUAAACGACAAAACUCAUCUACAACCUCCUUCCCCCCAAACUGCCAACACUUCUGAUUAAUUUAAAAUCUGCUCUAAAAGACAAAACUCAUCUACAACCUCCUUCCCCACAAACUGCCAACACUCUGGAUUAAUUUAAAAGCUGCUCUCUGGGCAGGUUGCAUCCCAGGGCUCCUCCUUCACACAUGGUGGGGCCCCACCUUCGCUUUACCUCUAGCGUCCCAGCCCUCGUGGUCAUCUGGAACCAGGGUUGGUACACAGGGCCUGCUGGCAUUCCUAUGAUACUCCGUGAUAUUCUGGAGGAAUCCAUCCCUUCCUUGGGGCUCCAUCCCACUGCCCCAGCACCUCCAGCCACCCUGAUUCAGGGACAUCGCAGAGAUUGGUGUUUGACGCUACGGCAGCAGAGGCGCAGACUCUUGAGUGUUGGAGGGUGUCUGGAGGGCCUGGGGGCCAGCACCGCCUGCACUCCCGGGAGCUCGGCCCCGCCCCACCGUGGCUCUGAGUGUCGGAGGGCGUCUGGAGGACCUGGGGGCCAGCACCACCUGCACUCCCGGGAGCUCGGCCCCUCCCCACCGUGGCUCUGAGUGUUGGAGGGCGUCUGGAGGGCCUGGGGGCCAGCACCGCCUGCACUCCCGGGAGCUCGGCCCCUCCCCACCGUGGCUCUGAGUGUUGGAGGGCGUCUGGAGGGCCUGGGGGCCAGCACCACCUGCACUCCCGGGAGCUCUGCCCCUCCCCACCGUGGCUCUGAGUGUGGGAGGGCGUCUGGAGAGCCUGGGGGCCAGCACCGCCUGCACUCCUGGGAGCUCGGCCCUGCCCCACCAUGGCUCUUGGUGCAGGUGCACUGGAAGGAACU